UGCGUGUGUAAAGGUAGUGCCAAGAAAAGCGAUGAUCAUGUUGAAAAUCAAUUCCCGGUACCCGAAACCGACACAGGUGGGCAAGUAGAGAAUACUAAGGGGCGCGAGGUAACUCUCUCCAAGGAACUCGGCAAAAUGACCCCGUAACUUAGGGAGAAGGGGUGCACCGAGAGGUGGUCGCAGUGAAGAGGCCCAGGCGACUGUUUAGCAAAAACAUAGGUCUCUGCAAACUCGAAAGAGGAGGUAUAGGGGCUGACGCCUGCCCAGUGCCGGAAGGUUAAAGAAGUUGGUCAGUUUUAGGAUGAAGCUAGCGACUGAAGCCCCGGUGAACGGCGGCCGUAACUAUAACGGUCCUAAGGUAGCGAAAUUCCUUGUCGGGUAAGUUCCGACCCGCACGAAAGGCGUAACGAUCUGGGCGCUGUCUCGGAGAGAGGCUCGGCGAAAUAGGAUUGUCUGUGAAGAUACGGACUACCUGCAUUUGGACAGAAAGACCCUAUGAAGCUUUACUAUAGCUUGGAAUUGUGUUCGGGCUUCCUGUGCGCAGGAUAGGUGGGAGGCGUAGAAGGUAUUCUUGUGGGGAUACUGGAGCCAACGGUGAGAUACCACUCUCAGGAGGCUAGAAUUCUAACUUAAUUAAGGACAGUUUCAGGUGGGCAGUUUAACUGGGGCGGUCGCCUCCAAAAAGGUAACGGAGGCGUACAAAGGUUCCCUCGGACUGGUUGGAAAUCAGUCGAAGAGUGCAAAGGCAGAAGGGAGCUUGACUGCGAGAAGUACAGUUCGAGCAGGGUGGAAACACGGUCUUAGUGAUCCGACGGUGCUGUGUGGAAGGGCCGUCGCUCAACGGAUAAAAGUUACUCUUAGGAUAACAGGCUGAUCUCCCCCAAGAGUUCACAUCGACGGGGAGGUUUGGCACCUCGAUGUCGGCUCAUCGCAACCUGGGGCGGAAGUACGUCCCAAGGGUUGGGCUGUUCGCCCAUUAAAGCGGUACGUGAGCUGGGUUCAGAACGUCGUGAGACAGUUCGGUCCAUAUCCGAUGUAGGCGUGAGAAUAUUGAGAGGAGCCUUCCUUAGUACGAGAGGACCGGGAAGGAUGCACCGCUGGUGUACCUGUUAUGAUGCCAAUUGUAAACGCAGGGUAGCCAAGUGCGGAGAGGAUAACCGCCGAAAGCAUCUAAGUGGGAAGCCCACCUCAAGAUGAGUAUUCUGGUGUAAGGUCACGGGAAGACGACCCGUAAAUAGGCACGAGGUGGAAGUGCAGAGAUGUAUGAAGCCGAAGUGUACUAAUAGACCGUCGGCUUG
rnacentral:rRNA from 1 species